AUGGCCUGUGAGGUCAUCUUGCGUCUCGACGAGGCCCAGGAAAGGCGCCAGCUCUCUCCAGCCGAGCGUGAUCUGCGUAGAAGCCUCAAGCUCAGAUUGCUGGGGCUGGCAGCAAUCGAGAGAUGCAGGAAGAGGCAGGCCUCCAGGCUCACCUGGCUGCGCUCCGGCGAUGCCCCAACAAAGUUCUUCAUGGCAAAAAUCUGCUCACGGAAGAGAAACAACUUCAUUCACUCUCUGAAGGUCAAUGACUCAAUCGCUACGGCACACAGCGAAAAAGAAGAAGCAAUUCACAACCACUUCGCCAGCAUCCUUGGGACUACAAAGCAACGAUCGUCUACGAUAAACUAGGAUCAAAUUCACAUGCCAACAAUUCAAAGUGGUGGUUUGGACAACCCUUUUUCAGAGGAAGAUGUGUGGGCGGCGAUUCAGGCAUCUCCGGCAAAGAAAUCCCCCGGACCGGACGGCUUCAACGCACCUUCUUCAGAUCGUGCUGGUAGAUAG
rnacentral:rRNA from 1 species